rnacentral:lncRNA from 1 species
GCACACAUAGUGGUAGGAAUAGGACCGAUUUAUCGGUAGAUUUUUGAUAAAUCGCUUGUCAAAGUGAUAAAUUGACCGAAACGAUAAAUAAAAUAGGGCAACAAUACACAUUACAUAACAAGGUCCAAAAAAUAAAAAUAAAAAUAAUACUUGCACACAUAGUGGUAGGAAUAGGACCGAUUUAUCGGUAGAUUUUUGAUAAAUCGCUUGUCAAAGUGAUAAAUUGACCGAAACGAUAAAUAAAAUAGGGCAACAAUACACAUUACAUAACAAGGUCCAAAAAAUAAAAAUAAAAAUAAUACUUGCACACAUAGUGGUAGGAAUAGGACCGAUUUAUCGGUAGAUUUUUGAUAAAUCGCUUGUCAA